GCGAGCUGGCCAGACACUCCGUCUUUCCCACAACAGGUGCAUUCAUCCAUCCGCCGACGGUUGGGGAGGUCUUGCUAGCUGGUGGGCUUGGCUCUUUACCCGUUGUCCCCGAGUAGCCCUCAAGCCUGGAUGUAGGUGAGCGUGAGGAUGCUACUAGUGGGUAGAAGGAUGACAGCAGGGACGGGGACGACCCCCCUCCCAUCACUUCCUAAGGUGAUGCACUUGCUCCUACCCCCCAAGCAGCCUCAGUCCCGGCAGCCCCCUCCCCCCGGCCUGGCCUGCCAGCUCAGGGUGAGCCCGGUCGGAUUGUCACUCGACGCCCACUAGUGGCUGAGGAGGCUCCAGUGCGCAGGCUCCGGGCACCGGAUAAAAGCGGAGCUGGCGAGUCCGGCGCCGUCUCGAUGGAGGAGCGAGAAACGCAAGAGGUCGGGGGGAGAAGCCGCAGAAAAAAUUGCAGCCAUCGUCAGCGCCGCCUCCCUGCCACCGUGUAUGGGGUAAAAGCUGCCGUUGCCGCUGCCGGUGCAGUCGCUGCCGCCGCCUCCUAUACUUCUUAGCACCGGGGAAAGAUUCCCCGCCGCGGGACAGUGUGCUGGGCGGGGAGCGGGAGUUCGUUUGUGUGGCGGUGAUUAAACGAGGGAGGGACAGAGCUGGUUUCUCGAACCGAAAAGGGGAGGCCAAGGAAUAAAACAGGGUUCUCCACUAAAAUCACACAGCGAUUACGGAUCUGGCUUUGGGGGCCUUUCCCCGGAAUGGCGGUUUCCGUCUUCUUGGCCCGCAGCACGACCUUGGGUGCUCCGUAAGAGGAGUGGGGAGAGGCAGAGGCGGUGUCGGCAGCCAAUCGGCGUCUGGUGAUUUCUGUCGGGCGCGUAGGGAUUGGCUGACGAUGACCUCAUGCUGCAGCAGCGGGUGGGGCCAGAGUCGUCGGGGGUGGCUGUUGCAAAGGCAGAGAGUGAGAAGUGAUGACGGUGAUCGUUGUCGCCGCGUCUUCUGUGGAACCCAAGCAGUGCCGAAGGAAGUCGCAAGGCUCUUCCCCGACCUUUUGCUCCUCUCCCUGCGCGAGGUGAGGGCCCUGGCUCGGCCUCUGCGAGACUUUGGGGCGCUGGUGCGGCCGUGGAGGCGCAAUUUCUCCUGUGACUUUUGUAACUGCGUCAGGGCAAGAUGGCGCUGGGUCUCCUUGGGGCGCGGGGGGAGAGGCACGUCCACCGCCGCCGCAGCGCAUGUGACCGGCUGCAUUCCUGUGGGGUUUGGCGGGGACCCAGGCAGGGCGGGGGAGGGGACCGGGUUUGGGCGGAGGAGAUGGUGGUGCGGUCGGCGUUGGCUGCCCGAAGAGGAAGAGAUGACUGUUUGAAAGCUCUUCCCCUCCCCCACUCCCCGCAGCAGAACAGCUGCGGGACGGGGGGGGGGAGCCCCUGAAAGGACACUCCUUUCGGGGUGUGCCAGCCACUGGUGGAGGAGAAGGUUUGACGCCUUCUUAUCUGCCUUUCUCCUUGCAAAGUAUGCUUACGUAAGGUGGCAGUUCCCUCCUGUAAGCCAACUAGGAGGCCCUGAGUGUCACUGGUAUGGGUAACAAGGACAGGUUAGGCUCUGAAGGCACCACGGGUAGGAGUGUUGAUUAUUUCAGACAAAACAUAAAGUUUGGGGGGUCUGAAUAGAAGACUACAGCAUUCUCAGAGUUUGAAAGCAAGUGAAUAACACCCAGGAACACUUAGGGUUUCUAGGCAGACAGCGAUUAAGGACUGCAUCACAGUCUGAACGGAAGGGCCCUGUCAAACCUUCUCCUUAGAUUCUUUGUGUUCAUUACCCUCCCUGUCUAUACAUCCCAUGAGAGAGUUUAAGUAAUCUUACUGGUGAGGGUUGCCUUUUCAAAUAUAAGUAUUCUUAGUAAUUUUAGUAUUUUGUUCUGUAUGAAACUGAAAGGUCAUUUUCUAUACUUCACGUUGCAUUUUGUCGUCCUUUUAAAAAUAAAAAAUGGAAUUACAAAUGC
ensembl:lincRNA